AUUUCAGUCGAUAUAUAUCGAAGUAUGGACAACGAUAUCGUUCUAGAUUAUCGUUACACGACUAUAAGUUUUAAACAUCGAUUUAAACUAAUAUAUUUUUAAAAUUUUACAUUUGGAAACUAAUAUUUAUAUUAUUUAUAUUGCAUGACAAAUUAUAUAAUAAAAUAUAAUAUAAAGCAUUUUAAAGAUAAUACUAUAAAAAUGUAUUAAUGAAUUGACAAGCCCAAAGAGGUUAUGUGAUAACCUAUAUCGUGCAAUACAUAACCAAAUAAUUUCAAAUUUUGUAAUAAUAUAUCCGUUUGUUUUUAUCGUUACGAACGGAAAUUACAAAAUAAAUAUGAUUUCGGAUUACUAUGGACAGGGCAGCGUCUGGAGAAAUCUCAAGAUAAACGAUAAAGAUCACGCGAUUUGUUUUACAAGGGAAAAUGAGUCGUGGAAAAUUUUUUUAACAAAUCUGAUAGAAAUUUGGACAGAGACUUUAUCAGACGAAACUAUAUUUCGCAAAUGUCAGACCAUGAAUCCUCUUUUAAAUCUCGAGGCUUUUGACUGGAAGCAACUGGUACUGGAUAUGUUAAAUGAUAUCCCACAAUACGUACACAGGAACGUUUUAGAAGUUACUGCGUAUCGAAUAGAGCUGCGGAAAGACAAGGGUAUCGUAAAAUUAAGAUUUUCGUUGGAUCUUCUCAAAGGAACGCCGCAGCAGCUUUGGGAGAGCGUGACCAUGCCUCUCUGCUUGUCGUCAAUGGAACUCGUUCGUCGGCACAAGAUUCUGCUGGAUCUGGUGAAGCAGAAAGACGAAGAGAUUGCGGAGUACAAAGCGGAAGGCGCGAAGUUGAUUAGGCAAUAUAUCGCUACCAAACCAUUCAGCGAAGAAUUGUUUCACAUUGAUGCUGCUGGAGCAGCUGCCACUAAUUUUGUAAAUACUUUCCAAUCUGUGCUUCAUUUUUACAAUGAAAUGAACUUGCUAAAGACACACGUGAAACCAGAGUCAGAGGCUGUAUCUUCGAACAGCGCAAGUGAAACUAAUGGUUCCAAGAUCGACGAGAAUGUUCUUCCUGAUUCAAGGAACGAAUCAGUACAGAAGUUAAGGCGAGACGAAUUGGAUUAUGAUGAGCAAGUGCAUCCAAAAGUUGAAGAAUGUAAAGCAGAUUCUUCGUCCAGCAAAGCUUCAAUUCUGAAAAUCAGUAGCACAUCUCACUCGAUAGUGUUAUCUGUUAUUAACUGCGCGAUAAUUCUCUCUUGGUGCGUGGCAUUUGUUCAACAUGGCGGCCUACGGUCAGCAAGACUUCAACAGGAGUGCGUUAACGCUCGAUGGCGGACGGGUAUGGUACACCGGUCAAAGAGCGGAAAAGAUUCCCAAUGGUCUGAUAGGAGUUGUUGGUCACGAUUGUCUCGGCUUGGAUCUCUCCUAUAACGAAUUGAACUCCAUUUCUGGCGUGAAGGAUUUUGAACAGCUUCAAGAAUUGAUCCUGGACAACAACAAACUUGACAAUCUCAAAACGCUACCGCACAUGCCGACUUUGACCACUUUAAGUUUGAACAAUAAUAAGAUACUCAAUAUUGACAAAGCUCUCGAUAGGAUUCGAGAAUGUUGUCCCAAUAUAGAAUACGUGAGUCUUCUGGGCAAUCCCGGCUGUCCCGAUCAACUGAACAAUCCGACAACCACCGACGAAGACGAUUACGAACGUUACAGGCUGUACGCUAUUCAUAUUUUACCUCCAAGUCUUCGUUUCCUAGAUUCCCGAAGAAUCACUCAGCAGGAGAGAGUUACCGCCAAGACUCGCGGCAAAUAUUCCAAGACGAUCAAGCUCGUCCCAGAGUUAAUUCGCAAGUUUGUACCCCGCAAUUCGACGCAUGUGAACAACGAGUUCGAUGACAUAUACUUCAACAUUCAUUACACGCCGUUGCCGAGUUCGUCACGCAAUCCUCAGGAUCACAAGGGUGCGUAUGGCAAGUGCAAGUAUCGAUAUUCCGGCAAAAACUCGGAGGGCAACAGAUUUAUCUCGAACAACGAUCUUUAAUCGAGGACAUGUAUGUUUCCAAAUGUUUCUAAAUGUAUGUUUCUAAACAUGGCCUUAAAAUAUUAUUUUUUCUAGUCAAAUAUAUUUGGUAUUAACGUGGAAAAUGUAUCAGUCUAUUCAAUUUAGCGACGCGAAAUUCUUUCUUCAGAUCUUGACGUAAAUAAACUUUAUCGCACGCGAUAUCAUACGAUUGUUCUUUAUCAAUUCUGUUAAUAAAGAUACACAUGUAGAUUUAUAUAUUA